rnacentral:tRNA from 2 species
GGGGGCGUAGCUCAGCUGGAAGAGCGCCUGCUUUGCACGCAGGAGGUCAGGGGUUCGAGUCCCCUCGUCUCCACCA